GCAGUCGACGGCAGCAUGAUCUAGCUUGCUAGAUUGAUGGCGAGUGGCGAACGGGUGAGUAAUACAUCGGAACGUGCCCUGUAGUGGGGGAUAACUAGUCGAAAGAUUAGCUAAUACCGCAUACGACCUGAGGGUGAAAGUGGGGGACCGCAAGGCCUCAUGCUAUAGGAGCGGCCGAUGUCUGAUUAGCUAGUUGGUGAGGUAAAGGCUCACCAAGGCGACGAUCAGUAGCUGGUCUGAGAGGACGAUCAGCCACACUGGGACUGAGACACGGCCCAGACUCCUACGGGAGGCAGCAGUGGGGAAUUUUGGACAAUGGGGGCAACCCUGAUCCAGCAAUGCCGCGUGUGUGAAGAAGGCCUUCGGGUUGUAAAGCACUUUUGUCCGGAAAGAAAUCGCACUUACUAAUAUUAGGUGUGGAUGACGGUACCGGAAGAAUAAGGACCGGCUAACUACGUGCCAGCAGCCGCGGUAAUACGUAGGGUCCAAGCGUUAAUCGGAAUUACUGGGCGUAAAGCGUGCGCAGGCGGUUGUGCAAGACCGAUGUGAAAUCCCCGGGCUUAACCUGGGAAUUGCAUUGGUGACUGCACGGCUAGAGUGUGUCAGAGGGGGGUAGAAUUCCACGUGUAGCAGUGAAAUGCGUAGAGAUGUGGAGGAAUACCGAUGGCGAAGGCAGCCCCCUGGGAUAACACUGACGCUCAUGCACGAAAGCGUGGGGAGCAAACAGGAUUAGAUACCCUGGUAGUCCACGCCCUAAACGAUGUCAACUAGUUGUUGGGGAUUCAUUUCCUUAGUAACGUANCUAACGCGUGAAGUUGACCGCCUGGGGAGUACGGUCGCAAGAUUAAAACUCAAAGGAAUUGACGGGGACCCGCACAAGCGGUGGAUGAUGUGGAUUAAUUCGAUGCAACGCGAAAAACCUUACCUACCCUUGACAUGCCACUAACGAAGCAGAGAUGCAUUAGGUGCUCGAAAGAGAAAGUGGACACAGGUGCUGCAUGGCUGUCGUCAGCUCGUGUCGUGAGAUGUUGGGUUAAGUCCCGCAACGAGCGCAACCCUUGUCUCUAGUUGCUACGAAAGGGCACUCUAGAGAGACUGCCGGUGACAAACCGGAGGAAGGUGGGGAUGACGUCAAGUCCUCAUGGCCCUUAUGGGUAGGGCUUCACACGUCAUACAAUGGUGCAUACAGAGGGUUGCCAAGCCGCGAGGUGGAGCUAAUCCCAGAAAAUGCAUCGUAGUCCGGAUCGUAGUCUGCAACUCGACUACGGAAGCUGGAAUCGCUAGUAUCGCGGAUCA
rnacentral:rRNA from 1 species